CUGACUGCUAUGCUCUGGCAGAGAGAGAGAUGCACAUAAAAGAGGCAGGCUCCAAAACAGGCUUUCGGAUUGGAGACUCUACCACCCGGUAGUACUGGCCUUCCUGACCACCUUGGGUUGCAGCGUUAGAUGUGCUCUGAUCCUUGGAAACGGUGAGUGAUCCCUCUUUCAUGACCUGAAGGUGAUGUCUGCUUAGCUUGUUCUGUGUUCAACAGAUGGCAGCAGAGAACUGUGACCCUUCAAGCCUACUGAGGAUGUUCAAGGACACAGCAGGAACCCGCAGCCAUACGUGGAGACCAAGAUCAACUCAUUACUUUGUCUGUUGAGCUCUGUUGACCCUAAGAGGGAUCACUUACACUUUUCCAAGGACCAGUGCACAUCAAAAACUGCUACCUGAGGAGGUCAGGAAGGCCAGUACCAGCUGGUGGUGAAGUCUCCAAUCCUAGAAGGAAAGAAGAAACCCUCACAAGAGGUACUGAAUAAUGUGGGGAAGGGAAGAAUAGGGGUCAUUCUAGGAAGCCAAAGUCAUACACAGAAGUCAUCAGAAGCCUGUUUUGGAGCCUACCAAAACGUUUUUGGAGCCUACCAAAACAUCUUAUUUGGCAUCACCCUUGGUCAACACAUAGCAGUCUGUAUUUGGGUCACCGUAGCUCCAACGAGGCCUAGAUUGGCAGCCUGGAAAACAAAGGGAACAAAGAGAAACACAGCAUAACAUGAAGAAAUGAUAGUGAACCUGAAAAUUAAGAGAACAAACCGGUGUGCUGUCAGAACAGCAGAAGGCACAGAGAUCCCAUCAGAACUGGGGAGCCGUAGGAAUGGGCAAAGGAAGAACACCCGGUUGUUGGGGUGACAGGCGGGGUUAAGGGUGGUGCAAUGGGAGGGAGACCGGGUCAUGGGUUUCCUGGGCGGUCGCG
rnacentral:lncRNA from 1 species